CUAAAAGUUCCCUGAAAAGCCUUCAGUUAAUUCAAAAUGCUGCAGCUGGAGUACUGACGGGGACUAGAAGGAGAGAGCAUAUUUCACCCAUAUUGGCCUCUCUUCAUUGGCUUCGUGUCAAUUCUAGAAUCGAAUUUAAAAUUCAAUAGAGCGCUUCGCUCUCAGACUGCAGGCUUACUUGUAGUUCCU